rnacentral:lncRNA from 1 species
AUGGUGUCUGUGACUAUGGUCAUAUCACCCCUUGGCUGCCUCGUUAUUCUUCUGAGAAUUAGCAUCUACUUUAAUUGUAAGUGUAUGGGGUAGUGUUUAGUCUACUGAUAACCUAAUUUAAGCGAUAAUGCACACGAAACUAGGUAAUUAAAUGAUACAACUUUUACGAUAAACUCACGAGAUUUAAACCCUCACGACGAAUAACAAAGUGCAAUACUUAAACAUCCACAGCGAUUGAGUUAAUACCCGGUAUCGUAGCAGUACCCCCUUACUUUGAAAGUGAAAUUCGAGCAGAGUGAAUGAUUUUGAAAGUUUUGUCGACACAGAAUGAAAGCCCAUGAGCUAGGCUAUUUAUAGCAAAAAUUCAGGCCUGUCGCGGCCCGCGUGAACCUUCGGUUGAUCUUUACGCGGCCCGCGUGGGAGUGUGGAUAAGCUCGGAGGUUGCCGAGUCACCGGUGGUCGUGACACGUGUGACGACACGUGGCCUUCAUGCACAUCCGGAUACCCACGAGCUGUCGCGACCCGCGUGACCUUCUACCUAUUCUUUACGCGGCCCGCGAGAAGACUAAAUAUCUGAAUUUCUUGAUUCUUUGAUAUGGAUUGGGAUUUCAGGGGUCCGGGUUUUUACUAACGGAUCAUUUUGGAGUAUUUUUAAAUAUAAUUAUAUCACAAAGAAAAAGGGAAUAAAAUAGUAAGAAAAGAGAAUGGACCCACUUUGUA